GGGUUGUGAGGUUAAGCGACUAAGCGUACACGGUGGAUGCCCUGGCAGUCAGAGGCGAUGAAGGACGUGCUAAUCUGCGAUAAGCGUCGGUAAGGUGAUAUGAACCGUUAUAACCGGCGAUUUCCGAAUGGGGAAACCCAGUGUGUUUCGACACACUAUCAUUACGUGAAUACAUAGCGUAAUGAAGCGAACCGGGGGAACUGAAACAUCUAAGUACCCCGAGGAAAAGAAAUCAACCGAGAUUCCCCCAGUAGCGGCGAGCGAACGGGGAGCAGCCCAGAGUCUGAAUCAGCUUGUGUGUUAGUGGAACGGUCUGGAAAGUCCGACGGUACAGGGUGAUAGUCCCGUACACCAAAAUGCACAGGUUGUGAACUCGAAGAGUAGGGCGGGACACGUGGUAUCCUGUCUGAAUAUGGGGGGACCAUCCUCCAAGGCUAAAUACUCCUGACUGACCGAUAGUGAACCAGUACCGUGAGGGAAAGGCGAAAAGAACCCCGGCGAGGGGAGUGAAAAAGAACCUGAAACCGUGUACGUACAAGCAGUGGGAGCCUCUUUAUGGGGUGACUGCGUACCUUUUGUAUAAUGGGUCAGCGACUUAUAUUCUGUAGCAAGGUUAACCGUAUAGGGGAGCCGAAGGGAAACCGAGUCUUAACUGGGCGUUAAGUUGCAGGGUAUAGACCCGAAACCCGGUGAUCUAGCCAUGGGCAGGUUGAAGGUUGGGUAACACUAACUGGAGGACCGAACCGACUAAUGUUGAAAAAUUAGCGGAUGACUUGUGGCUGGGGGUGAAAGGCCAAUCAAACCGGGAGAUAGCUGGUUCUCCCCGAAAGCUAUUUAGGUAGCGCCUCGUGAAUUCAUCUUCGGGGGUAGAGCACUGUUUCGGCUAGGGGGUCAUCCCGACUUACCAACCCGAUGCAAACUGCGAAUACCGAAGAAUGUUAUCACGGGAGACACACGGCGGGUGCUAACGUCCGUCGUGAAGAGGGAAACAACCCAGACCGCCAGCUAAGGUCCCAAAGUCAUGGUUAAGUGGGAAACGAUGUGGGAAGGCACAGACAGCCAGGAUGUUGGCUUAGAAGCAGCCAUCAUUUAAAGAAAGCGUAAUAGCUCACUGGUCGAGUCGGCCUGCGCGGAAGAUGUAACGGGGCUAAACCAUGCACCGAAGCUGCGGCAGCGACACUUAGGUGUUGUUGGGUAGGGGAGCGUUCUGUAAGCCGUUGAAGGUGUGCUGUGAGGCAUGCUGGAGGUAUCAGAAGUGCGAAUGCUGACAUAAGUAACGAUAAUGCGGGUGAAAAACCCGCACGCCGGAAGACCAAGGGUUCCUGUCCAACGUUAAUCGGGGCAGGGUGAGUCGACCCCUAAGGCGAGGCCGAAAGGCGUAGUCGAUGGGAAACAGGUUAAUAUUCCUGUACUUGGUGUUACUGCGAAGGGGGGACGGAGAAGGCUAUGUUAGCCGGGCGACGGUUGUCCCGGUUUAAGCAUGUAGGCGGAGGUUCCAGGUAAAUCCGGUACCUUUUUAACGCUGAGGUGUGAUGACGAGGCACUACGGUGCUGAAGUAACAAAUGCCCUGCUUCCAGGAAAAGCCUCUAAGCAUCAGGUAACACGAAAUCGUACCCCAAACCGACACAGGUGGUCAGGUAGAGAAUACCAAGGCGCUUGAGAGAACUCGGGUGAAGGAACUAGGCAAAAUGGUGCCGUAACUUCGGGAGAAGGCACGCUGAUAUGUAGGUGAAGUGAUUUACUCAUGGAGCUGAAAUCAGUCGAAGAUACCAGCUGGCUGCAACUGUUUAUUAAAAACACAGCACUGUGCAAACACGAAAGUGGACGUAUACGGUGUGACGCCUGCCCGGUGCCGGAAGGUUAAUUGAUGGGGUUAUCCGUAAGGAGAAGCUCUUGAUCGAAGCCCCGGUAAACGGCGGCCGUAACUAUAACGGUCCUAAGGUAGCGAAAUUCCUUGUCGGGUAAGUUCCGACCUGCACGAAUGGCGUAAUGAUGGCCAGGCUGUCUCCACCCGAGACUCAGUGAAAUUGAACUCGCUGUGAAGAUGCAGUGUACCCGCGGCAAGACGGAAAGACCCCGUGAACCUUUACUAUAGCUUGACACUGAACACUGGUCCUUGAUGUGUAGGAUAGGUGGGAGGCUUUGAAGUGUGGACGCCAGUCUGCAUGGAGCCAUCCUUGAAAUACCACCCUUUAAUGGCUGGUGUUCUAACGUGGACCCGUAAUCCGGGUUGCGGACAGUGUCUGGUGGGUAGUUUGACUGGGGCGGUCUCCUCCUAAAGAGUAACGGAGGAGCACGAAGGUUAGCUAAUCCUGGUCGGACAUCAGGAGGUUAGUGCAAAGGCAUAAGCUAGCUUGACUGCGAGAGUGACGGCUCGAGCAGGUGCGAAAGCAGGUCUUAGUGAUCCGGUGGUUCUGAAUGGAAGGGCCAUCGCUCAACGGAUAAAAGGUACUCCGGGGAUAACAGGCUGAUACCGCCCAAGAGUUCAUAUCGACGGCGGUGUUUGGCACCUCGAUGUCGGCUCAUCACAUCCUGGGGCUGAAGUAGGUCCCAAGGGUAUGGCUGUUCGCCAUUUAAAGUGGUACGCGAGCUGGGUUUAGAACGUCGUGAGACAGUUCGGUCCCUAUCUGCCGUGGGCGCUGGAGAAUUGAGGGGGGCUGCUCCUAGUACGAGAGGACCGGAGUGGACGCAUCACUGGUGUUCGGGUUGUCAUGCCAAUGGCAUUGCCCGGUAGCUAAAUGCGGAAGAGAUAAGUGCUGAAAGCAUCUAAGCACGAAACUUGCCCCGAGAUGAGUUCUCCCUGAGACUAUAAGUCUCCUGAAGGAACGUUGAAGACGACGACGUUGAUAGGUCGGGUGUGUAAGUGUAGCGAUACAUUGAGCUAACCGAUACUAAUGAACCGUGAGGCUUAACCUUACAACGCCGAAG
rnacentral:rRNA from 1 species